UGAUGAAAACGCACAAACAACAACUUGAAUUUCUUCAGCCGACUAC
rnacentral:snRNA from 2 species